rnacentral:rRNA from 1 species
UACGAAGGGGGGCUAGCGUUGCUCGGAAUCACUGGGCGUAAAGGGUGCGUAGGCGGGUCUUUUAAGUCAGGGGUGAAAUCCUGGAGCUCAACUCCAGAACUGCCUUUGAUACUGAGGAUCUUGAGUACGGGAGAGGUGAGUGGAACUGCGAGUGUAGAGGUGAAAUUCGUAGAUAUUCGCAAGAACACCAGUGGCGAAGGCGGCUCACUGGCCCGGUACUGACGCUGAGGUGCGAAAGCGUGGGGAGCAAACAGG